rnacentral:tRNA from 1 species
GGGGACGUAGCUCAACUGGUUAGAGUGCCGGCCUGUCACGCCGGAGGUUGCGGGUUCAAGUCCCGUCGUCCUCGCCA